UCUGAUUCAAGUGAUUCAAAAUGAAUUGGGAAGAAAACUCAAAGAUAUACACUUUUGAUAGAAAUAGGAUUUCUCAAAUUCUGAUGUUUACUUUUCACCUCUUGACUCCUUUCCUCAUCAGAUUGACCUCUAACACUCUUGAAUCUUCAUUCCAUUUCCGUCUCAUUUAUGGAUUAUUUGCAACUUGGUCCUCGAACUUUUAGUUUGAUUCAUUUUGGUCCUUUUUGCUUGUUUCUUUUAUUUCCAUCAUCUCAUAAUAUCACCAAAUUGGUACUUAGCUCAUUCACUUCCUUGAUUUGUCCUUCAGACCAUCUUUUGGAUAAUUGCACUUUGAUCCCUGAACUAUCCCUUUGCUCCAUUUUAGUCAUUUUUCGGCUCUUUUCUUCUGAAUUUCACCAUUUUCAUAGAAACACCUACAUUGAAUGAAUUCAACGGGAUUAAAUCACAUUUUAAACAUUUUGCUCGUAAAGUCAUAUUUGUGAUCUAAAUAAGUGUGCAAAAACACACUUAUCAAACCCUCCAAACUUGAACUAUUGUUUGUCCUCAAAUAAGAUAGUAACUUAAUUCUGACUAAACAUGGCUUAAUACCCUGCCAUGGCUCAAGA
rnacentral:lncRNA from 1 species